UACUUCCGCUCAACCUACCGGAGCAACAACACGUGUUUAGCGACUCACAGUGAAAGUUUCAGAUUAUUUAACUUAAUUUCUGUAUAUUUUUGCCUCCAUUUAGUGUUUUUCACUUUCUGAACUAUAAAACUCAGCAGGUAAAUGAAUGUCCGGCUGUUUGUAGGCGGAUAAACCGGAUGUCUCAUCGGAGCCAGCUGCGGUCGGGACAGCUCAACAUGUCUGGACUUGUUCCGACUCUCAGGCACACGGACAGGGACGCAGAUAAUUCCGGACAGCGAUAAUGGAUUAUCAGUUUCCUCGGCAACUUUUCCCCUCGUUUUACAGCUGCGACCCGCCGAACCGGGUCCAGAGACACUGCGCAGGAGGAUGGGGCUGCUACCACGGAGUCUUAGCGCAGGGCGGCACCGGCUCUCUCUCCAGCUGGGCGUUCACGUCCAAACGGCAGCUUGGAGGGGAGGUCUGGCGCCAGACGGAGCCGGUUCCGGUUCCCCUGCUGUCCCCCAGGAAAGCGUUCCAGGAAUUCCUGACGCCUCCUGAUCCGCUGGACUUCUUAAAACACAUGCAGAACUUCUACAUGGAUCACGGCCCGGACGCCUUCGGCUGCAUGAGUGAGAUCCUGGGCGAAAACUUCUACUUCAAGAAAGCCAAGAUGAAGGAGCAAUAUCGUAAAGAUUCGGUCAACAUGUGGAGGACGAAGUGCUUCGUCGACCAGCUGAAGUUCAACAUGUGUCCCAUGGCGUACCGGUCCAGGUAUCUGGACCGGUUCUGCAGCCUGCUGUGGGACGUGGUCCACGACGUUCCCCCGGAGCUGCUGGGCUCGCUGCUGCACGAGGAGCUGGCCGAGCAGAGGGACCGCAUGCAGUUCUCAGAGGCGGCCACCGGGGGCGCUCUGGCCUUCGUCCCGUUCUCGCAGGGCGAGGGCUGCCUGCUGUACCCCGGGGGCCCGGGAAUGGACCGCCUCAACUUCCACAGGGUGGCGCUGGAGCGCGACGGCGUGGACGCCGGCGGCCGGAAGCCGGUCGGCUUCCAGCUGAAGGCUCCGGUCCGACAGAUCAGCUGCGGCUCGCGCUUCGGCGACAGCUGCGUCGCCGUGCGCACCGACCACGUCUGUGGAGUCUGGGGCAUGAGGGAACAGGAGGAGCCGCGCCUGCUGCAGGUGGUCGGCACCAGAGCUGCUGCCAGCUGCGUCAGCGUCAGUCCGCACAUUCUGGGUGAAGUUCUGGUGGCGAGUGAGAGCGGAGCGGCGAACCUGUGGACGGUCGGCAGAGGGAUGCAGGAGGUCCGGACGGAGGAGAGCAACUUGUACUUCAACGCCAAGUCGUCAUGGCGAUGGUGCGAAUUCUCCGCCCACCCACGAGUGAUGCUGUACGCCGACCGGACGGGGGUGGAGCUCACAGACUUCAGGGUGAAGUUGGACUCGAACCCGUGUCACACUCUGUUCCGGAUCAGCAGCACCUCAGACUGCCAGAGCGGAGAGCGCCUCCUCCUGGUCAGAUUCCUGGGAGACGUUCACCCCUUUCACCACCUCCUCACCACGCAGCACUCGGCCUACAUCAUGGACGAGCGCUUCCCCGGCGUCCCCAUGCUGAAGUGGGACCACAUGAUGGAGGCUCCGCCCCUUUUCUGCCACGUGGCUCCAGGCUCCGCGUCAGGAACCACCAAGGUUCUGCUCGGGUCGCAGUCGUCUCAGGAGAUCACUCUGCUGCAGUACUCAGGAGGCAGAGUGGAGGCGUGCUGCAGCCACGGUUCUCCUCAGGUUCUGCUCCGGCCCAGAGACAGUCUGGCUCUGCUCCCGGUCCAGAUCCCCCACCGUCAGCAGACCGCCGCCCACAGACUGGCUUCACCGGCUGCAGGCCUGACGUGUCUCCAGAAAACGUCCGUCUCCACGGCGACCAUGAUUGUCCUCCAGCUGACGGCAGCGGGGGACGUCUUCUACCAGAUCCUGGAGCGGGAUGACGGAAAACCCGGAGCGCCGGAGACUGGAGCGCCGGAGACCGGAGCGCCGGAGACCGGAGCUCGCUCCCCGCUGCUGGUUGCUGAAACGUCCAGCGACGAGGACGUCGUCAUGCCAACGCAGGAUCCCAACUCUCACACGUUUGUCCCAGAAACGCCCGACAGGAACCAGAGUUCUGAUCGGCUUCCGGAUCAGAUCCCGGCGUUCGUCGCCGUUGGUAACGAAGCGGAUUGGUCGGCUCCCUCGGUGCUGAGCAGCGCCACGCGUCACGCCUGGAGGCGCUGGCUGCAGAAGCUGAGGAGACGGGAGGGGAAACCCGGCGCUCCGCCGCACCUCGCGGUCCGAACCGCUGGUCUGCUGAGCGUGGCGGAGCCCGGCGCCGCCGGACGCCACCUGCAGGGGGCGCUGCAGCAGGAUCUGCAGCGCUGCAUGCGGACGCGGUCGCUGCUGCUGAAUAGAGACCUGGACCCGGUUCCGGUGCCGCCGGCGGUGGAUGCCGAGGCGUGGUGCGACCCGCUGAGCAACCGGCUGACGGCGGCGUGGCGCGGCGGCAAGGAGGCGUGGCUGGAGUGGUGGCAGGAGGAGCGAGGGGAGAACCGGGCCAUGAAGAAGGAGGCGCUGAGGAGGAGGAGGAGGAGGGAGAAGGAGGCGCAGCGCGCGGCGGGGCGCCACCUGCGGCUCAGCGGCAGCUUCACCUCCUCCAUCAGCUACCAGACGGACGUGGACGACUUCUCCGGCUGGUCCUCAGGAACCAGCGUCCCGCUGUCCGACAGCCAGUGGAGCAGGCCUCUGGGCCGGCUGGCCGCCUUCCUGGAGGAUCAGGACGACUUGCCGCCGCCGGACCGUUUGGAUCCGCCCAGCAGAACUCCAGAACCACAAACAGCCAAUCAGAGGAGCUGGAAUCUGGCCGACCAAUCACUGAGCUCUCUGUGGGAAACACAGGUGGGAAUGAUGCUGCCACCACCAGGUUUCAGGAGGGAGGAUCCUCCUCUUCAUCCAGCCCCCUCCUCCUCUUCCUCUCAGCUGCCCAGCUUCCCGUCUCUGACGCCCUCCAAGGCGUCGCAGAGCCAGCGGGGGGCGCUGCAGGCGUCCCAACCCAAGAAGAAGAAAUCCCGGAUGGGAUUCUGAUCCCAGGAUUGGAUUAUUGUGACUCUGGAACAGGAAGUGACCCGGCGGAGGAGGGAACCGAAGACAGAGCGGCCCGUCUGUAAUGUUGUGGACUGGAGGCGGUCGGUCGUACCCUCAUCAUGGCCAGGAAUCUGUCCAGCAGGCUGACGGCCUGGACGAAGCUCUGGGUGCUGUAGCCGAAGAAGCUGGUCAGGCUCCACAGAUCCUCCACGGUCACAUCCCGGCUCCUGGCUGUGAUCUGGCCGCCGCUCUGGGGAGCAAAGACAGUUUAGAGAAUCUCACGGCAGAGUUUCUCUGGACUUUACCGGACGGACGCGUUUCUCACCUGCUGGGCAGAAACGAUGAGGUCCAGGCCCGCCUCUCUGGGCAGGAAAUCCACCUCCUGCUCAUAAUUCACCUUCAGCUCCUUCAUCAGCCGCACGGCAUCCAUGUUCACGGUUUGUUUUGCCACCACAGUUCAGACACUGCAAGGAAAAAAGAAGAUAAUUUAGCCCUUAGCCUAGCCUAGCCUAGCCUAGUAGCUACUGGAAAAAACGCUUAUCGUUUAUCAUGACAAUUUUAAUUCAUCAGUCAUGAUAAAUCCUAAAUAGUGAUGUUUAAAAACUGUCAAAACUAUCUGUAUUUUUUAUUUUUUGUUCUAAGGAAAUGUCAAUAAAUUUGAAAACAUGAUUAAA